rnacentral:lncRNA from 1 species
CGAUUUUGUCCCCACUUCCCUCUUAGGACCAACCACAGAAAGCCAAACACGUUCCCCAAACCAGUUCUGAGGACGACGCUCCAGACCUGCCCAGGCCCGACUUCAUGGCACCCACAGCCUCCGUCAGGACACGGACCUUCCUCCCCCUUCCCCCCCGGCGGAGGCCCCGCUCCUGUGCCUGCCCGUGACCUUCUGCCAGAGGCAGGUGAGCCGGCUGGCGGCCCUCGGACAGCAGGCUCUGAGUCAGCAACCCCUGCCGGUCCUCCCACGGUGCGUCCCGGCUGUUUCCACACCAGCAAAGAGCAGGACCUCACGUGUUGGCAAGGCCACCAAGCCCAGGGUGUGUGCGUGCGCUGGAGGAAGCCCAUGCCCCCCACAUCGUGCCAGGAGCCCCUGCCCUCUGCUGAGGAGCCCUCGACCCCCUGACCUGGGUCUGGGCACCGGGGGUGAAGAGGGCGGUGACUUCCUGGAGCUCACAGGUGUCCACAGGCUCCUCAGGCCCCUGGCCCUGCUCCCCACAUUCCCCCCCGCCCCCCACCCAGCGCCCGUGCCGGCCUCCCCUCUCUCACAGCUCGGACUCUGCUCUUCAGGAACGUGGCCCAGACGCUGAAUUCUCUCCGGCUAUUGUACAGCACACAAACAUCCCUGAACCGAACAGCUUUGACGGUUCAGGAUCCGCAGAGGUUAUCCAGAGUACAACCUCGGACCAGAUGCACCUUCUUGGAAUUCCCUUCCAGAAGGUCCCCAGAAGGCCGGAACGGGGGUGCCUGCAGGCCAGCCUGCUGCAGCCCAACCCCCAGACGUGUGCAAGGUGGAGCCCCAGACAGGAGCUCCCGGCCUGGCCCUCCGCAGAGGAGGUCAGGAGCACGUGUGUCCCAGCCUCUGGCCCCCUGCCUGUGCCCUUCUGCCUCAGCUGCGUCUUGGGCCGGCAGUGCCUCCCUCGUGCUCAGCCUGGGUGGGCUGGUUGGAGAGGAACUCUGUUGACCCUCUCCAGGGCUGCAGGAUGAAAUGAAACAAUGUGU